GACGAACGCUGGCGGCGUGCCUAAUACAUGCAAGUCGAGCGGACCUCUUCGGAGGUUAGCGGCGGACGGGUGAGUAACACGUGGGCAACCUGCCUGUAAGACUGGGAUAACUCCGGGAAACCGGAGCUAAUACCGGAUAGUAUCUUGAACCGCAUGGUUCAAGUUGGAAAGACGGUUUCGACUGUCACUUACAGAUGGGCCCGCGGCGCAUUAGCGAGUUGGUGAGGUAAUGGCUCACCAAGGCAACGAUGCGUAGCCGACCUGAGAGGGUGGUCGGCCACACGGGGACUGAGACACGGCCCAGACUCCUACGGGAGGCAGCAGUAGGGAAUCUUCCGCAAUGGACGAAAGUCUGACGGAGCAACGCCGCGUGAGUGAUGAAGGUUUUCGGAUCGUAAAACUCUGUUGUUAGGGAAGAACAAGUGCGAGAGUAACUGCUCGCACCUUGACGGUACCUAACCAGAAAGCCACGGCUAACUACGUGCCAGCAGCCGCAGUAAGAC
rnacentral:rRNA from 1 species